AAGUCGUACCAAGGUUUCCGUAGGUGAACCUGCGGAAGGAUCAUUACCGAGUAAAGGUUACUGUUAAUCCAGUACCAACUCCCCACCCUUUGUGUAUCAAACUUGUUCAUUCUUUGGCAAAGCGUUUAGUUUUGCUAAACCGCUGAUGACGAAAGUCAUGGGUGAGCCUUUGCCAAAGGUAUAUUAUAAACACUUGAAAAACGAUUGUCUGAGAAAAGAUUGAAAAUAAAUCAAAA
rnacentral:misc_RNA from 1 species